AGAUCGACAGACAACAGCUUCACUGUAUCAUCCCUUCAUCCAAUCAAAACAAGCUCCAUGAUACAAGUCUGGCUCCUCUCAACAUCUCAGCGCAGACAGAGUUUUUCAUCGCCUGGGUGCUAAGCCCAUGAACGUACCUGUUACUGUGACGUCAUCCGGUGAGCGCUCGCAGAGGAGCAUCAAGUGUUCCGAGGCUGAACAAUAACGAUCAUUUUCCAUCAAGUGGACAUUUACGUGAGUCAUUGAAACAAUACCACAUCUAAACAAAUGUCCACUGUCUGAGACUUUUGAACAAGAAAUUCCCUGACUGUGCUGUCAA